CCUACGGGAGGCAGCAGUGAGGAAUAUUGGUCAAUGGGCGCGAGCCUGAACCAGCCAAGUAGCGUGAGGGAUGACUGCCCUACGGGUUGUAAACUUCUUUUAUAAGGGAAUAAAGUGAGGCACGUGUGCCGCUUUGUAUGUACUUUAUGAAUAAGGAUCGGCUAACUCCGUGCCAGCAGCCGCGGUAAUACGGAGGAUCCGAGCGUUAUCCGGAUUUAUUGGGUUUAAAGGGAGCGUAGAUGGGUUGUUAAGUCAGUUGUGAAAGUUUGCGGCUCAACCGUAAAAUUGCAGUUGAUACUGGGAGUCUUGAGUAUGUUUGAGGCAGGCGGAAUGCGUGGUGUAGCGGUGAAAUGCUUAGAUAUCACGCAGAACCCCGAUUGCGAAGGCAGCUUACCAAGC
rnacentral:rRNA from 1 species